ensembl:snRNA U1 U1 spliceosomal RNA
AUACUUACCUGGCAGGGGAGACACCAUGAUCCGGAAGGUGGUCCUCCCAGGGCGAGGCCCGUCCAUUGCACCGCGGGCGCGCUGACCCCUGCGAUUUCCCCAAAUGCGGGAAACUCGACUGCGUAAUUUGUGGUAGUGGGGACUGCGUGCGCGCUCUCCCCU